rnacentral:rRNA from 1 species
UACGUAGGUGACCAGCGUUGUCCGGAUUUACUGGGCGUAAAGAGCGCGCAGGCGGUCGUUCAAGUCGAGUGUGAAAGCCCCCGGCUCAACUGGGGAGGGUCACUUGAUACUGAUCGACUCGAAGGCAGGAGAGGGAAGCGGAAUUCCCGGUGUAGUGGUGAAAUGCGUAGAUAUCGGGAGGAACACCAGUGGCGAAGGCGGCUUCCUGGCCUGUUCUUGACGCUGAGGCGCGGAAAGCCUAGGGGGAGCAAACGGGG